rnacentral:rRNA from 1 species
UACGUAGGUGGCAAGCGUUGUCCGGAUUUAUUGGGUUUAAAGGGUGCGUAGGCGGCUUUGUAAGUCAGUGGUGAAAUACGGUAGCUCAACUAUCGAGGUGCCAUUGAUACUGCGGAGCUUGAGUACAGAUGAGGUAGGCGGAAUUGACGGUGUAGCGGUGAAAUGCUUAGAUAUCGUCAAGAACACCUAUAGCGAAGGCAGCUUACUAGGCUGUAACUGACGCCGAGGCACGAAAGUGUGGGGAUCAAACAGG